CCUACGGGUGGCAGCAGUGAGGAAUAUUGGUCAAUGGACGAGAGUCUGAACCAGCCAAGUAGCGUGAAGGAUGACUGCCCUAUGGGUUGUAAACUUCUUUUAUAUGGGAAUAAAAUGUUCCACGUGUGGGAUUUUGUAUGUACCAUAUGAAUAAGGAUCGGCUAACUCCGUGCCAGCAGCCGCGGUAAUACGGAGGAUCCGAGCGUUAUCCGGAUUUAUUGGGUUUAAAGGGAGCGUAGGUGGAUUGUUAAGUCAGUUGUGAAAGUUUGCGGCUCAACCGUAAAAUUGCAGUUGAAACUGGCAGUCUUGAGGACAGUAGAGGUGGGCGGAAUUCGUGGUGUAGCGGUGAAAUGCUUAGAUAUCACGAAGAACUCCGAUUGCGAAGGCAGUUCACUGGACUGCAACUGACACUGAGGCUCGAAAGUGUGGGUAUCAAACAGGAUUAGACACCCCAGUAGUC
rnacentral:rRNA from 1 species